GAUUAACGCUGGCGGCGUGCCUAACACAUGCAAGUCGAACGAGGUAGCAAUACCUAGUGGCAGACGGGUGAGUAACGCGUGGUCAACCUACCGUUGAGUGGGGGAUAACUAGCCGAAAGGUUAGCUAAUACCGCAUACGUCUCCGAGUGGCAUCACUUGGCGAUAAAAGGAGCAAUCCGCUCGAUGACGGGACCGCGUCCCAUUAGCUAGAUGGUGGGGUAACGGCCUACCAUGGCACCGAUGGGUAGCUGGUUUGAGAGAGCGACCAGCCACACUGGGACUGAGAAACGGCCCAGACUCCUACGGGAGGCAGCAGUGAGGAAUUUUCCGCAAUGGCGCAAGCCUGACGGAGCGACGCCGCGUGUGGGAAGAAGGCC
rnacentral:rRNA from 1 species